rnacentral:rRNA from 1 species
UACAGGGGGUGCAAACGUUGCUCGGAAUCAUUGGGCGUAAAGCGCACGUAGGCGGUCUGUUAUGUCGGAUGUGAAAGCCCUCGGCUCAACUGAGGAAGUGCAUCCGAAACUGGCAGGCUAGAGUACUAAAGAGGGUCGCGGAGUUCCCGGUGUAGAGGUGAAAUUCGUAGAUAUCGGGAGGAACACCGGUGGCGAAGGCGGCGACCUGGGUAGAUACUGACGCUGAGGUGCGAAAGCGUGGGGAGCAAACAGG